rnacentral:rRNA from 1 species
CCUACGGGAGGCAGCAGUGGGGAAUAUUGGACAAUGGGGGAAACCCUUAUCCAGCGACGCCGCGUGAAGGAAGAAGGUUUUCGGAUUGUAAACCUCUGUCAGUGGGGACGAUAAUGACGGUACGCACGGCGGAAGCCACGGCUAACUACGUGACAGCAGCCGCGGGAAUACGUAGGUGGCAAGCGUUGUCCGGACUUACUGGGUGUAAAGGGAUCGUAGGCGGGUUGUCAGGUCAGAAGUGAAAAUUAUGGGCUCAACCCAUAACCUGCUUUUGAAACUGGUAUUCUUGAGUGAAGUAGAGGUAAGCGGAAUUCCGAGUGUAGCGGUGAAAUGCGUAGAUAUUAGGAGGAACACCAGUGGCGAAGGCGGCUUGCUGGGCUUUUACUGACGCUGAGGCUCGAAAGCGUGGGGAGCAAACAGGAUUAGAUACCCGAGUAGUC